rnacentral:rRNA from 1 species
AUACAGAGGGUGCGAGCGUUAAUCGGAUUUACUGGGCGUAAAGCGCGCGUAGGCGGCCAGAUAAGUCGGAUGUGAAAGCCCCGGGCUCAACCUGGGAAUUGCAUUCGAUACUGUCUGGCUAGAGUAUGGUAGAGGGAAGUGGAAUUCCACAUGUAGCGGUGAAAUGCGUAGAUAUGUGGAGGAACACCAGUGGCGAAGGCGGCUUCCUGGCCCAAUACUGACGCUGAGGCGCGAAAGCGUGGGGAGCAAACAGGAUUAGAUACCCCAGUAGUCC